GCCAUCAUGGGAUAGCUCAGUUGGUAGAGCAUGAGGCUCUGAAUCUCAAGGUCAUAGGUUCAAGUCCCAUGUUGGGCA